UUGAUGUAUUCUCUUUAUUUUGUUAAUAGAUUGAAUUAAACAACCCAAAAUUGAGAACACGUGUUUUCAACAUGCUAUUAACAAGCUAUCUUUAGAAAUUUGCUCAUUAUAACAAAUAGCUAAUCAACAAAAUAGAUAUUUUUAUGCUUAUACCCUUUAAGAGAUAGGGAAUGACAAGAAAGUGAUGGAAAUUCGGUAUCAGCAUGCUGCCAAAUACUUGGCAAUUGCGAGCAAGAGAACUAGCUGGUAAAAUUUCCAAACGUUUUGCACUGAUUUUCAUUUGGUUACUUCUGUGCAAGCAAUAGGAAUGAAGCAGCCAGCACCCAGCACUCGGAUCUAUAGGAACGUUACUAUGUGCAUGUGUAUCUGUGGGCUUUCUGCAGCUAGCUGGGUUGUUGGUAUCGCUUUGCAUUUGGCAAAUUCUUAGAUGUCUCAAUGUUUUGCAGUUUGAGUUUUCGGCUUUGGGCUUGCAUUCUGAGUUUCAAUUGCAUUGUUCUCGACGCCUUUCUAUGUGUGAGUGUGGUUGUGGCUGUUGUGUGGCCCUAACAACUGGAGUGUUAGGCAGCCUGUGGCUUGAAAUCGCCUAAUGGAUGUCAACGUUUGAAUGCAAUUUAAAACAUAUUUUUUGGUCGACAAUUUUUUUGUGGUUUUGUUGUUGGUUGGCCAUGGAAAGGAUAAAUAUGACCUCGAAAAUGUGACACAAUUCGCUAGAGAUAAAGAGACAAUUGCAACAGCAUCUGGUUAUCAUAUGUCACUCAAAACGCUCGUGACUAAUGGGCCCCAUAACUGGCACAGCCAAAAUCAAUGUCGGCCGACAUUUUCCGACAAUUUCAUAGCAAAAUGGACGUCAAGACAGAAGCAGCAGUAGCAAUAGCAGCAGCGACGGCGGCGGCAGCAUCUGCCAAAUAAAUGGCACUCAAUCAAGUCAUGUCUCAGCAAUUUCACGGGCUCAGGAUUUCGGCAGCAUCUUGACAAAUGGUCACACGAAAAUAAUAAUAAAUAUUAAAGGCUGGUCACAUUGAUUGGCAACAACUUGACAAGAAUAUUUCAUACAUAAGUUGACAACAAGAAUACAAAUUCAAGACGCGCAAUUAAAAGUUUCAGUUCUAUCAAAUUCAUCUACUGCUCCCUCCAGGUGUUUUGUCAAUGUGAACCAGCCUUAUGAUAACGAAGCGCAAAUAUUUCCAGAGCAAACGACAAAAGGCAUACAAAAUUAAAAAGAAAAUAAGUAAAAAAUUAAUGAAAAAUAAUACAAUUUGCACGGCUAGAAAGCGCUCUGGAUUUGUACUUUAAUUAAGUAAAAUAAAAGCUGUUCACUUGGACAUUGAUUCUCACAUAAA